AUGUUUGGGAGGGUCCCCAGGCUGCCAGUUGACCUCAUGUUGAAGAGUGUUCUCCAGGACGACACUGUUUGUGUCUAUGCCACUUACGUCAAGACUCUGGUGGAUGACCUGAUCUGGGCCAUGCUCCAAGCUCAGCGUAGUAGCACCAAGGAGCAGAAACAUCAGUCACAUCAGUAUAACAAGAGAGCAAAAGGCCUGCCUCUGUCUGUUGGGGAUCAGGUAGUUGUGGCGAAUAAAGGUGCCGGGGAAAAACGGAAGCUUGCUGACAAAUGGGAGCCGGUUGUCUACACGGUGGUGGCCUCAAAACCUGCCCUGCACAUCUACCGAAUCAGAGAUACGGAUGGGAAUGAGCGUGUGGUACACCGCAACCUCCUCCUUGAGGUGGACUUCUUACCACUGGAUGUGGCUUUGGAUGGUGCAGCUGAACCUGUGGACUCUCUGGCUGGUGUUGCUUCUGGACCUGAUCUGCAUGAAGCUAAGAUGGGCCCCUCUUUGGCUGGGUCCGGCACUUCUUCCAGUAUCUCUGAAUGCACAUCAGCGUGGGUCCAGCAACUGCCCCCGCCUGUGUCGGAAUGUGAUGCUGAAGGUGGAUUUCCUGAUGUCAGUGUUCCUCAGCAUUCCCUCACGGAGUCCACCGUCCCCUCCCCUGCUGUCCCUAUAGAGUCACUUAGGGAUAACCAACGUACUCCACGAUUUGGCGGGGUCAUUAGGCCAGUUUCUCGCCUGAUCGAAUCUAUGACUCAGGUUACCUCACUUUUUGGUACCUGUUCCAUCUCCUGUCAUGAUUGUGUAGUUUUCUGUUGUAAACUGUACUUUCAUUGCAUUUGGGUGACUGCCGUUUAUGGCUGUUUUGUUUGUUUGUUUUGCAACUGUCCUUUGUAUUGUUGGUAUGAUGUGCACUGCCAUGCCUUAAACCCCAGCCACCUGUGGUUGGGCAGCCAUAUUUUCCCCUUGAGACCUAAAAGGCAUCUCUACUGUAUCUAUGGAGUUUUCAACAAUGUUGUUCUGACUUUGAACUCUUUGAAGAGGCAGCCGUCGAGCUGA
rnacentral:lncRNA from 1 species